UAGGGAAUCUUCCACAAUGGACGCAAGUCUGAUGGAGCAACGCCGCGUGAGUGAAGAAGGUUUUCGGAUCGUAAAGCUCUGUUGUUGGUGAAGAAGGAUAGAGGCAGUAACUGGUCUUUAUUUGACGGUAAUCAACCAGAAAGUCACGGCUAACUACGUGCCAGCAGCCGCGGUAAUACGUAGGUGGCAAGCGUUGUCCGGAUUUAUUGGGCGUAAAGCGAGCGCAGGCGGAAUGAUAAGUCUGAUGUGAAAGCCCACGGCUCAACCGUGGAACUGCAUCGGAAACUGUCAUUCUUGGGUGCAGAAGAGGAGAGUGGAACUCCAUGUGUAGCGGUGGAAUGCGUAGAUAUAUGGAAGAACACCAGUGGCGAAGGCGGCUCUCUGGUCUGCAACUGACGCUGAGGCUCGAAAGCAUGGGUAGCGAACAGGAUUAGAUACCCUGGUAGUCCAUGCCGUAAACGAUGAGCGCUAGGUGUUGGGGACUUUCCGGUUCUCAGUGCCGCAGCAAACGCAUUAAGCGCUCCGCCUGGGGAGUACGACCGCAAGGUUGAAAC
rnacentral:rRNA from 1 species